rnacentral:lncRNA from 1 species
UAGAAGUAAAUUGUAUAUAGAUGCCACUUGGAAUAUACAACUCAAUAUCUCAACUACUACAAUGCCAUCCUAAAACCCAAAAACUCACGGGAACACAAGCUAGAAGAGAAAUACAGUAAAGUUCUCUAAUCUCCAGAGUAUCGAAAUCAACAGUACAAUGGAAGGGCUAACACUACAUGACAGAAUAAAGAUGGAGACUCUUCAGUCUGCGGACGCGGCAGAAGUACCUCGAAGUCUCUAAAUGCUAUCCCUUCCUCAAAGGUAAUAUGCCUGAGUGUCGGUACCUGGAUCUGCACAUGGAAAACAUGUGCAUGAAGGGCAUGAGUACACCACUGCGUUACUCAGUAAGUGCCAAGCCUAACCUCGGUUGAGUAGUGACGAAGAAGGUCGGGGCCUACUGAGGUAAAAUAAUAAUAGAAAUGACAGGAUAAGAUAAAUAAUAUAAUUGAGAAUCUACAGCAAAAGUCUAUACAGAUAAUAAGAGUACAAUAACAGAAAAACAUAAAUAAAAGUAGAACACACGGAAAUGUUGCUCCCAACAAGAAUAAUAAUAACUUGGGAUCUCUUAGUAUCCCGGGGAUCUCUAUGUAUCCUCAAUGUAAAUGCCAUGGAUCUCUUGGUAUCUCGAGUAUCUCUUGGUAUCGUCAAUAUAAAUGUCAGGGAUCUCUUGGUAUCCUCAAUAUAAAUGCCAGAGAUCUCUUGGUAUCCCGAGUAUCUCUUGGUAUCCUCAAUAUAAAUUCCAGGGAUCUCUUAGUAUCCCGCACCUCGGUCCAAAUCAUAACUUCCAUACAGGGGAUCUCCCGGAAUUCCAUUUCGUAGUCCAAACAGUGACACACGAAUAUUAAAUUAGACGCCAACUUCGUAUAAAUAAAUAUUUAAUUCUAGCCAAACAUGUCGCACAUGAUGCAAUUAAGGUAGUUUAAGAAAAAUAGGCACAUUAAGUCAAUUAAACAUGCUCUUCUAACUAAGAACAUGUUAGUUAGCAAUUACAGUAAAGCAGGGGAAAGGGACAUGCUAAGAAAUACUUUAAGAAAAAAUGGAUUUUUCAACAACUUACACAAGCAAGCCCUUGUCACCUCACGCACAAGGCAACUAAGUUAUCAAAUAUCAUAUCCUAAGGGAAGGAGUUCCACACACAAGGUUAGACAAGCCACUUACCUCGAAUCGGCUCAAAGUCAACUAGAAAUCACGCCUUNNNNNNNNNNNNNNNNNNNNNNNNNNNNNNNNNNNNNNNNNNNNNNNNNNNNNNNNNNNNNNNNNNNNNNNNNNNNNNNNNNNNNNNNNNNNNNNNNNNNNNNNNNNNNNNNNNNNNNNNNNNNNNUCGACUCCAAAUGGCCCAAAUCUAUUCAACUCAAUUACAUAUCGUAAAUAACAUCUCAAACAACUGAUUCUACAAUUAAAUUCAAAGCUAAGACGAGAAAUUAGAAAAGUGACCAAAACGCCCCUCAAGCCAGCGUCUCGGAAUCAGAUGAAACUCAUAUUUUCAGAAACCUCAUAUUCUUACGAGUCUAUACAUAACAAGAACAAAACAAUCUGAGUUCAAAUGACCCCUCAAAUCCCAUAUUGAAAUUUAAAAAUCCCAAACCCUAAUUCUUCCCUUUUUAGUUAAAUUCCAUGAAUUUCUAGGUUAAUUUCACAGUAGAAUCACGUUUUUGGUUCAUAAAAUCCUCCAAUCGAUUCUCCUUGAAUCCCUCUUCAAUUCCCUUCAAAGAGCUCUCAAAAUACUCAACUAUGGUGGAAAAAUGGCUAAAACCCGCGGAUGAAAUGUUAUAAACUUUCUGCCCAACUCCUAUAAUUCCUUCUUCGCGAUCGUGGCCCAAGCCUCGCGAUCGCGACAAGCAAAAAUCCAAGGCUUAAAAAAUAUGCUAAACGAAUGCGACUCCGUGUUGCGAACGCGAUGCUUCGCUUAUUCAAAAUUCGAAAACGCGAGCCUCCAGCUGCGAACGCGAAGGGCAAUAGGCCUCUGGCCCUCAAAUCCUUCUAUGCGAAUGUGAAGGGUCUUAUGCGAACGCGGCUACAAUAUAACCUUUUGCGAAUGUGGUCCCCCAGACGCGAACGCGAUGAACAAAUUACAUUCCUUCCAAUUUUUCUUCUAUGCGAUUGCGACACCUCCAUCGCAAUCGCAAAGGCCAAAAAUACUGCAACCUAAGAACUGGAAAUCUGCAACUUUGAAACUUUAAAAGGUCCGUCUGACCAUCCAAUACUCACCCGAGGCCCCUGGGACCUCAACCAAAAGCACCAAAACGUCCUAAUACCUCAUUCAAACUUGUUUUAAUCCUCAAAACACCUCAAAUAACACCAAAACCAUCAAUUCAUAUCGAAUUCUAACCUAAGUUUUCUAAAAACUUCUAAAUUACGCUUUCGAUUAAAACAUAACCAAACCUUGUCCGAAUGACCUGAAAUUUUACACACACAUCCUAAAUGACAUGAGAGCUACUGCCACUCUCGAAAUUCUAUUCCGACCCUCGUAUCAAAAUCUCACCAACCAACCAAAAACUUCAAAAAUUCAAACUUCGGCAUUUCAAGCCUAGAUUAGCUGCAGACCUCCAAAACACAUUCCGAACAUGAUCCUAACCCCGAAAUCACCUAAUGAAGCUAACGAAACUAUCGAUUUCCAUUCUUUGGUCAUCUUCACACUAUUCCGACUAUGGAUAACUUUCCAACACUUAAGCUCUCAUUUAGGAACUAAGUGUCCCAAAUCUCUCCGAAACUCAAAACUGAACGUCCUGACAUGGUAAAGCACCUCCACCUACGACCGUUAGGCCCUGGGUUCGAGUCACCAGGGAGGGGAAGUGCAAAAGCACUAUAGAUCCUCCUAAUUUGGAGGGGUUAAAAAAAGAACGUCCCGGCAAAUCAAAUUAGCAAAAAUAAACUUGGAGAAAGCAAAUAACAAGGGAUCGGAGCGUUAAUUCUUAAGACGAUCGUCCGGGUCGUCAUAUCCUCCUACACUUAAACAUUCAUUCAUCCUCGAACGAGCAUAAAGACAUACCUUAAGUAGUGAAAAGACAAGGUUAACGGCUGCGCAUAUCCUGCUCGAUCUCCUAGGUUGCCUCAUCGGCUAGCUGACCCCGCCACUGAACCUUUACUGAAGCAAUGUUCUUUGACCUCAACUUUCGGAUAUGCCUGUCCAAUAUUGCAAUUGGCUCCUCAAUAUAAGAUAGAUCCCUGUCCAGCUAGACUGAACUAAAAUCCAACACGUGCGAUGGAUCACCGUGAUAUCACUGGAACAUCGAAACAUGAAAUACCAGAUGAACCCCUGCAAAGCUAGGAGGUAAGGCAAGCUUAUAAGCAACCUCCCCAACACACCUCAAUAUCUCAAAAGGGCCAAUGAACCUCGAACUCAACUUCCCUUUCUUUCCAAAUCUCAUAAUGCCUUUCAUAGGCGAAACUCGAAGCAAAACACGCUCUCCAACCAUAAAGGAAAUAUCACAAACCUUCGGGUCCACGUAGCUCUUCUGCCUUGACUAGGCUGUACGGAGUCUAUCCUGAAUUACCUUAACCUUCUACAAAGCAUCCUGAACCAAAUCUGUGCCCAAUAGCCUGGCCUCACCCGGCUAUAACCAACCCACCAGAGAUCUACAUCGCCUACCAUACAAGGCCUCAUACGGUGUUAUCUGAAUGCUGGACUAAUGUCUGUUAUUGUAAGCAAACUCUGCUAAUAGAAAGAAUUGAUCUCAAGACCCUCCAAACUCUAUCACGCACGCACAGAGCAUAUCCUCAAGAAUCUGAAUAGUGCGCUUAGACUGUCUGUCUAUGUGGGGGUGAAAUGUUGUGCUCAACUCCACUCGAGUACCCAGCUCCUGCUGAAUGGCCCUCCAUAAUCAUGAUGUGAACUGAGUGCCUUUGUCUGAAAUAAUAGAACCAGAAUACCAUGCAGGCGGACAAUCUCCCGAAUAUAAAUCACCGCCAACCGCUCCGAAGAAUAAGUGGUACACACAGGAAUAAAAUGAGCGGACUUGGUCAGCCGAUCCACAAUAACCCAGAUAGAAUCAAACUUAUUCAAGGUCUGUGGGAGUCCAACUACAACGUCCAUGGUGAUCCGCUCCAACUUCCACUCCGGAAUCUCUAUCUGCUGAAGCAACCCACCCAGUCUCUGGAGCUCGUACUUCACGUGGUGGCAGUUGAGGCAUCUAGCUAUAUAUCCAACUAUAUCAUUCUUCAUCCGCCUCCACCAAUAGUGCUGCCUCAAGUCCUGAUACAACUUCGUGGCACCCGGAUUAAUGGAAUACCGCAAACUGUGGGCUUCCUCUAGAGUCAGCUCCUAUUGACAUUGGGUACACAAACCCGACCCUGCAUCCUCAAUACUCCCUCCUCGCCAAUGGUCACCUCUCUGGCAUCACCAUCUUGAACCAUGUCCAUAAGGACAAGUAAAUAAGGGUCAUCAUACUUCCGCUCCCUGAUGCGAUCAAAAAAUGAGACCGAGAAACCACGCAAGCUAGAACUCGACUGGGCUCUGAAAGAUCCAAUCUCACAAACUCGCUAGCUAAGGCCUGAACAUCCAUCGCCAUAGGCCUCUUCGAUACUGGUAGAUAUGCCAAACUCCCCAAACUCUCCGCCCGACGACUCAAGGCAUAAGCCACUACAUUGGCCUUGUCCUAGUGAUAUAAGAUAGUCAUGUCAUAGUCCUUCAGCAACUCUAACCACCUCCUCUGGCACAAAUUUAGAUCCUUCUUCUUGAAAAAAUGCUGCAAACUCUUAUGACAAGUAUAAAUCUCAGAUGGCACACCGUAUAGAUAAUGGCGCCAAAUCUUCAGGGCGUGAACAAUGGCAGCUAGCUUAAGAUCAUGGACAUGAUAAUUCUUCUCGUGUAUCUUUAAUUGUCUGGACGCAUAGGUAAUCAACCUACCGUCCUGCAUCAAUACUGCUCCAACGCCAACUCUCGAGGCAUCACAAUAGACGGUAUAAGACCCUGAUCCUGUAGGCAAUACCAAAACAGGGGCUGUAGUCAAAGAUGUCUUGAGCUUUUGAAAGCUCGCUUCACACUCCUCUUUCCAUUGAAAUGGAGCACCCUUCUGGGUCAAUCUAGUCAUAGGGGCUGCAAUCGAUGGAAACCCCUUCACAAAAUGACGGUAGUAGCCCGCCAAGCAAAGAAAACUAUGAAUCUCUGUAGCUGAGGACGAUUUGGGUCAACUUGCAUAGCCUCUACCUUCUUCGGAUCUACCCGAAUGCCCUCACUCGAUACUACGUGGCCUAAGAACACCACUAAACCCAACCAAAACUCACAUUUUGAGAACUUUGCAUAUAACGUCUUCUCUCUCAGAGUCUGGAGCAUUGUCCUCAGGUGCUGCUCAAGAUCUUCCUAACUCCGGGAAUACACCAGAAUGUCAUCAAUAAAGACAAUGACAAAAGAAUCGAUAUAUGGCCAAAAUACAUUGUGCAUCAAAUGCAUGAAGGCUACUAGGGCAUUGGUCACCCAAAUAACAUAACAAUAAACUCGUAAUGGCCGUACCGAGUCUUAAAAGAAGUAUUUGGGAUAUCUGGCUCCCGAAUCUUCAAUUGAUGGUAAACUGAGCGCAAAUCAAUCUCAGAAAACACAUGUGUGCCCUGAAGCUGGUCGAACAAAUCAUCAAUACGAGACAGGAUAACGGUUCUUAAUCGUGACCUUGUUCAACUGGUGAUAAUCAAUACACAUACGCAUAGAACCAUCCUUUUUCUUCACACACAAGAUAGGAGUACCCUAAGGUGAAACACUACGCCAGAUAAAUCCCUUAUCAAGCAAUUCCUGUAACUGGCCCUUCAACUCAGGAGGAGCCAUACGAUAUGGGGGAAUAGUAAUGGGCUGAGCACCCGGCAACAAUUCAAUGCCAAAUUCAAUGUCUCUAUUAGGUGGCAUGCUCGGAAGAUAAGCUGGAAAUACAUCGGCAAAAUCUCGCACCACUGGGACCGAAUCAAUAGAAGGGGUAUCAGCAUUGACAUCUCAUACAUAAGCAAAGUACGUGGCACACCCCUUUUCAACUAUAUGUUGAGCUCUAAGAAAGGAGAUAACUCUACCGGGAGUGUGAUCUAAAGGACCACUCCACUCAAGACGCGGCACACCUGGCAGAGCCAGCGUCACCGUUUUAGCGUGACAAUCAAGAAUAGCAUAAUGGGGUGUCAACCUGUCCAUGCCCAAAAUAAUAUCAAAAUCAACCAUGCUGAGUAGCAAUAAGUCUGCUCUGGUCUCAAAAUUACGAAUAAUAACCAAACAUAACUGAUAAACGUGGUCCACAACAAGUGAAUCCCCUACAGGAGUAGAAACAUAAAUAGGGAAACUCAAAGAAUCCCGAGAUACACCCAAAUGCAAAGCAAAAUAGGAGGAAACAUAAGAGUAGGUAGAGCCUAGAUCGAGUAGAACCGAUGCAUCCCUGUGUCAAACCAAUAUAAUACCUGUGAUAACAAAAUCAGAGACAAUAGCCUCGGCACGAGCGAGAAGGGCAUAGUAUCUGGCUUGGCCUCCCUCUCGAUGGCGACCUCUACCUCCAUCUCUAGAUGGCUGAGUGAGUGGGGCGGCAACUGGAGCUGUAACCAUAGCUUGGGAACUCUGUGGGCACACUGUGGCUGGGAAGUCUACGGGAGUGCACUUCUCCCAAGUCUAGGGCAAUACCCUACCACUUGACGUUGUCACUACACUCAAAACAAGCUCUGAGGGGACAUGGUGGUUGUGAGUGGCUAGGGCUAGAUCUGCUGGACUGACAUCUGAAUGCACCCCGCACAGGAGGAGCACUAGAAACCGGACGUGCAUAGUAAGGCUCGUGAGGCCUAGGAGGAGCUGGAGCUGGAGCACUGCUAGCUGCUGGAAGAGCUGAAUGAACGGGGAAACCCAUAUAGCCCCGACCAUGACGACCUAUACGGGCACCAAAAUAGUGGCAUGACACUCGAGACCUCUUGGCCUCCCUCUUCUCUCUCCCUAGCAUGCAUACCAUCAAUCCUCCUAGCAAUGCUCACCACCUACUGAUAAGAAACAUCCAUCUCCAACUCACGAGCCAUGCUAGAUCUGAUGCUAGAAAUAAGACCCUCAAUAAACCGGCAAACCUUCUCGCGAACAGUAGCAACCAAGGCUAGUGCAUGCCUAGCCAAGCUGGUAUAACGAACAUCAUACUCUGAAACAGCAUAGCACCCUGGCUCAAAUGCUCAAACUCUGCGUGCCAUGUGUCCCUGAGGCUCUGAGGGACAUAUUCUCACAGGAACAGCUUUGAGAACUAAGCCCAAAUCAGCGAAGCAGCCUCACCUAGACCGUCUAACUUAUAGGUACGCCACCACUCAUAGGCGGCCCUUCGGAGUUAGAAGGUGGUGAACGAAACCCGUUGGAUGCUGAAAUACCCAUGGUACGGAGAAUGCGACAACACUCAUCAAGAAAACCCAAAGCGUCCUCCGAUGCUAGACCGCUGGAUACAGGAGGCUUGUACUUCUUAAACCUUUCAAGCCUCAACUGCUUAUCCUCGGAAGUUGUUGCCCUAUCCCGAGGCUGAUCUAGUAGUGCAGGCGGCGCAGGUAUAACCUCUGGGACCUACUCAACAUGCACUCGAUACUCCAGAAUGCAGGCGGUGGGAGUUUGUGCUCCUCUCCCGGCCUGGGAUGUGGCUGCAGCAAGGGGAAGCAACCCUGCCUGAACCAAGGUGGUGUAUAUAGUUACAUACUCAUGAACUAUGCUAGAGUCUCCUAGAGAGCUGGAGUAGUGGUAGCAGUAGUAGUAGUAGGCGUGUCAGGUGUCUGGAAUCCGAUUGGACUUGCUGGUGGUACCUCGACGGCGGAUCACGCAGGUGCUCUGGCUGCACUAUGUGCACGUCCUCGACCUCUACCCCGGCCCAGGCCUCUGGCGGCUGUAGUAGGGGGCGCGAGUGUCUGAUCAUCUCGAGUAGCACGUGUCAUCACCAUCUUUGAGAGAAUAGAAAGACACAAUUUUAGUUGUGAUAUCAAAAACCUCGCACGAUAAGGAAAUCAAAUGAAGUGAAAUUUUCCCAAACAUUAACAUAGCCUCUCGUAGAUAAGUGCAAACGUCUCCAUACCAAUCAGGAGACUCUAAUAAAUCGGCAUGUGUUCCAUGACUCCUAUGAACCUAGAGCUCUGAUACCAACUUGUCACGAACCUAGUUCCCCCUCUUUGAACAUGUCGUGACAGCACCUAGUCCCUACGACUAAGUAAUCCUAACAUUGCGAAAUAGUAUAACUUGCAGAACAUAAUAACUUAAAAUUGAACAGCUAGAAGUAAAUUGUAUAUAGAUGUUGCUUGGCAUAUACAACUCAAUAUCUAUGCCAUCCCAAAACCCGGAAACUCACAGGAACACAAGCAAGAAGAGAAUAACAGUGAAGUGCUCUAAUCUCCAGAGUAUCAAAAUCAACAGUACGAUAGAAGGGCUAACACUAUAAGACAGAAUAAAGAUGGAGACUUUUCGGUCUGCGGAUACGGCAAAAGUACCUCGAAGUCUCCAAAUGCUCUCCCUGUCUCAAGGGUAAUAUGCCUGAGUAGAGGUGCCUGGAUCU